UCACUGGUCCUUCUUAGGACCACACAAUUCCCAACGUUAAAAUGUA
rfam:Schistocephalus solidus strain NST_G2 genome assembly, scaffold: SSLN_scaffold0021030